rnacentral:rRNA from 1 species
AGUCGAACGGCAGCACGGGAGUAAUCCUGGUGGCGAGUGGCGAACGGGUGAGUAAUGUAUCGGAACGUGCCCAGUCGUGGGGGAUAACGCAGCGAAAGCUGUGCUAAUACCGCAUACGAUCUAUGGAUGAAAGCGGGGAUCGCAAGACCUCGCGCGAUUGGAGCGGCCGAUAUCAGAUUAGCUAGUUGGUGGGGUAAAGGCUCACCAAGGCGACGAUCUGUAGCUGGUCUGAGAGGACGACCAGCCACACUGGAACUGAGACACGGUCCAGACUCCUACGGGAGGCAGCAGUGGGGAAUUUUGGACAAUGGGCGCAAGCCUGAUCCAGCAAUGCCGCGUGCAGGAUGAAGGCCUUCGGGUUGUAAACUGCUUUUGUACGGAGCGAAAAGGUUCUCUCUAAUACAGGGGGCUCAUGACGGUACCGUAAGAAUAAGCACCGGCUAACUACGUGCCAGCAGCCGCGGUAAUACGUAGGGUGCAAGCGUUAAUCGGAAUUACUGGGCGUAAAGCGUGCGCAGGCGGUCUUGUAAGACAGAUGUGAAAUCCCCGGGCUCAACCUGGGACCUGCAUUUGUGACUGCAAGGCUGGAGUACGGCAGAGGGGGAUGGAAUUCCGCGUGUAGCAGUGAAAUGCGUAGAUAUGCGGAGGAACACCGAUGGCGAAGGCAAUCCCCUGGGCCUGUACUGACGCUCAUGCACGAAAGCGUGGGGAGCAAACAGGAUUAGAUACCCUGGUAGUCCACGCCCUAAACGAUGUCAACUGGUUGUUGGGUCUUAACUGACUCAGUAACGAAGCUAACGCGUGAAG